rnacentral:rRNA from 1 species
CACGUAGGGUGCGAGCGUUGUCCGGAAUCACUGGGCGUAAAGCGUGCGUAGGCGGUUCGUUAAGUCUGUUGUGAAAGCCCUGGGCUCAACCUGGGAACUGCAGUGGAUACUGGCGAGCUAGUGUACGGUAGAGGAAGGUGGAAUUCCCGGUGUAGCGGUGAAAUGCGUAGAGAUCGGGAGGAACACCAGUGGCGAAGGCGGCCUUCUGGACCAGUACUGACGCUGAGGCACGAAAGCGUGGGGAGCAAACAGG